UUGGACGUUGCAUUUACGAAAAUGCCCCUAAUAUCUCACGCAAACUCACACAAACUAAUCAGUUCUCUCACACACACCCAUCUCAUCUCUCUGCUCUUCACUCCGCACGCCCUCACCCCCACGCCUCCCAGCCUCGCUUGUAUUUCUGCGCUCUGCUCCGUGGUAGAGAUUUGCUACCAAAACACCAAGCAACACUGAUCUGCUACCAAAAACCACCAGUGGCAUGUUAAUGAACAGCAGGUGCAAAAACUUGUGAACAUGGGCUUUGCCAAGCUGGAUGUGAGAAGUGCUUUGCAAGUUGUUUUUUUGUUUUUGGUACUAGGUUUGUAGGCAUGCCUAAUCUAGAUGAGUAUAAAGGUGCUUGAUUAAGUUUGGUUAUUCACUUUAUUAUUGAGUUCAAGAUGAGCUCGACCUUAGGACUGAAUGCAAAUUUUAUAUUCAUGAUUAUUUCGUUAAUUUUCAAAAUAUUUUUAACUUGUUAAUGAGUUACACUGAGUUAAUUAAUUAAGCAAGUUAUACAAGUUUGAUUUAAGAAAAUUAUCUUCUUUAGUGUCAUACACUAACCAUGCAAAGAGCCUAACAGGCCUUGUGUGAUCUGCUCAUUCCCUGUGUUGGAUUAUUGCUUGAUGCUGCCCAAAACCCAUUUUAUGAUGAAACAAAAAUAUAAAUUUUCCUUGGCCUAGCGGUCAUAGAGACUUGACAUUAGAUUAGAUAAUUUAUAUUGUAUGCAUUGUUCAAAUAUAUGUGUAUGGUUAGCAUAUGGUUUUUAGAAAUUUGCUUGCAAUAUAGGUGAAGAAACUUGCUGCACAAAUUUUUUGUGCCCCUACUUGUGUCACGGUUUCAAAUGCCCUUCUGUCUCCUCACCUUUUGGAUUACUGUGUUUCAUGAUUUCUAUCUCCCCACUUUUAAACGGCAACCCUUUCAUCAAUGUUAAUUUUUUAGCGGUUUCAAUUCCUCAAUGGCAACCCUUCAGCUUUUGCUAACGCCAGCCUAUAACAGCAGUCUCUCUGUCUUCCCUCCUUUGUCUCUUCCUCUCCUCACAAUAUAUUAAUACUAAUAAAAGGUGGAUGAUUCAAUUCAGGUAUUUGUGCUCUAUUCUUGUGACUGCCCCGCAUAAUAAUUCAAUGUAAGGAUUAGAUUAUUUUGAUUGAAUUUUUUUUUCUUUUAAAAAUUUGUUAUUGCCUCCUUUCAUGCUAUGAUAUGGAUGAUUGCUAUGUUGAUUUUUCUUUGUAUUUGAUUUUUUUAAGGAUGUUGAAUUUUUGAUUGCUGUGUUUUUUAAUUGGAGCUCUACCUCUUUUGUAUUGUGGGUCGUAUAUGGGUCAGUGUGAUUAUGAUUUCUUCGUGUAGUGCUGUUGUGUGGAUACCUCACCAAUUUGGUUUGGUUAACAUAUGGGAUAGCUCUUGCUAGGGAUAUGCCAACUAAGUGUUUUAAUUGGAGUUCUAACUCUUUUGUGUUGUGGGUCAUAUAUGGGUUUAUGUAGAUAUUGUUUAAUGAGAGAGGCUAAAUAGUUCAUGUAGACUUAUUUCCCAUAUGAUAUGAGGGGUUGCCCCAAAUUAAUAAAAAGUGAAUCAGAGUGGUCCAAAAUUUCCCAUAUUCGAUGUUUUGGUAAUGACGCUAUUAAAAUUCGUCCCCAGCUGCGCAGAUUGGUCCAAGACAGAUCCCAGCCGUAAGUUUUCUCAUAUUGAAUCAACCAAACAAUUAUCAAAGAUUGCCAAAUUCCCUUUCAGUUUUUUUUUCUCUCUCUUAAAUAAUUUCCUGUUAUACUUUAAGAAGCAACAAUAAAAUGGAAUGUUUUGUCCUCUUCAACUGCAAAUGAUCGAAAUUCAAGAGCUGCAUGUGAUGACAAACAAAUAAGAGAAGCUCCAGAUUUGUUUGCACAAUGGUAAUACAAAAACAAUGUGGGUUAUUUGAUGAUUAUCCAGUUGGGGAGAGGAAUUGGAGUCUCAAUUCUAAUAUCCCUUAAGUCCAAGUAAUGGAAUGGAUUGGAUUCAUCUGUAUAGUUUUGUACAGGUGAUUUUGCUAUAAUUUGGGUUCUCCUUUGCUGUAACAGUAUCAGUCUUUGUGUUGUAUAUGGAGGUUGGAGGUUGCAGGUUGCAGCUAAAGCUACAAUAUGCUGUACAGAAUGAUGCAUAGCUUGCUCUGCUGUCUGGUUGUUUGGCUUGCGCCAGUGUUUUUUUUUUUUUGUUAGAUAGGGAUAAAUUUAAAGAUUUUGAGUUUAUUUAUGUUGCAUGCAUCAUGUGAGCCUAGAUUUUUGGGUUGGGUCUUCUCCUGUGUGAUUUCAACGACUAUGUGUGUAGGUAUGUGUAAGUAUUUUCUGUCAUUUUUGUGUGUAAGUAUUUGGGUUGGGUCUUAUCCUGUGUGAUUUCAAAGAACAUGUAGUGUAAGAGUAUAACUUUUGCUGUCAUUUGUCAACCACUUUGUUUUAUGGCUACUGAAAUUGUUGUAUAAUUUAAUCUGGUCCUUUGAAUU